rnacentral:rRNA from 1 species
GAUGAACGCUGGCGGCGUGCUUGAUACAUGCAAGUCGAACGGAGAGUGUAGCAAUAUACUCUUAGUGGCGAACGGGUGAGUAACGCGUUGGUGACCUGCCCCGAAGCGAGGGAUAACAGUUCGAAAGAACUGCUAAUACCUCAUGUGAUCACCGGUUUUAGAAUCUGGUGAUUAAAGGUGAAAAUCACUUCGGGAGGGGCCUGCGUCCCAUCAGCUAGUUGGUAGGGUAAUGGCUUACCAAGGCGAUGACGGGUAGGGGACCUGAGAGGGUGGCCCCCACAAUGGAACUGAAACACGGUCCAUACACCUACGGGUGGCAGCAGUAGGGAAUAUUGCAAAUGGGCGAAAGCCUGAUGUAGCAACGCCGCGUGUGCGAUGAAGGUCUUCGGAUUGUAAAGCACUUUUUGGAGGGAUGAGGAAGGACAGUACCUCCAGAAUAAGCCUCGGCUAACUACGUG